AACACAUGCAAGUCGAGGGGUAACGAUGGUGCUUGCACCAGGCGACGACCGGCGCACGGGUGAGUAACGCGUAUGCAACCUACCUAUAACUGGGGGGUAGCCCGAAGAAAUUCGGAUUAAUACCCCAUAAUAUCACAAUUUCUCAUGAAAUUGUGAUUAAAACUCCGGUGGUUAUAGAUGGGCAUGCGUACCAUUAGUUUGUUGGUGAGGUAACGGCUCACCAAGACUACGAUGGUUAGGGGGUCUGAGAGGAUGAUCCCCCACACUGGUACUGAGACACGGACCAGACUCCUACGGGAGGCAGCAGUGAGGAAUAUUGGUCAAUGGGCGAAAGCCUGAACCAGCCAUGCCGCGUGCAGGAUGAAUGCCCUAUGGGUUGUAAACUGCUUUUCUGUAAGAAGAAACCCCUUUACGUGUAGAGGGUUGACGGUAUUACAGGAAUAAGCAUCGGCUAACUCCGUGCCAGCAGCCGCGGUAAUACGGAGGAUGCAAGCGUUAUCCGGAUUCAUUGGGUUUAAAGGGUGCGUAGGCGAAAAUAAGUCAGUGGUGAAAUCCUGCAGCUUAACUGUAGAACUGCCAUUGAUACUGUUAUUCUUGAGUAUGGUUGAGGUAGGCGGAAUGUGCAGUGUAGCGGUGAAAUGCGUAGAUAUUGCACAGAACACCAAUUGCGUAGGCAGCUUACUAAGCCAUCACUGACGCUGAGGCACGAAAGCGUGGGGAGCGAACAGGAUUAGAUACCCUGGUAGUCCACGCCGUAAACUAUGAUCACUCGUUGUUGGCGAUACACAGUCAGCGACUGAGCGAAAGCAUUAAGUGAUCCACCUGGGGAGUACGAUCGCAAGGUUGAAACUCAAAGGAAUUGACGGGGGCCCGCACAAGCGGUGGAACAUGUGGUUUAAUUCGAUGAUACGCGAGGAACCUUACCUGGGCUUAAAUGCAGGACGCUUUUUCCCGAAAGGGAUUUUUCUUCGGACGGCUUGCAAGGUGCUGCAUGGUUGUCGUCAGCUCGUGCCGUGAGGUGUCGGGUUAAGUCCCAUAACGAGCGCAACCCCUAUCGUUAGUUGCCAGCGAGUAAUGUCGGGGACUCUAACGAAACUGCCGGUGUAAACCGUGAGGAAGGUGGGGAUGACGUCAAAUCAGCACGGCCCUUAUGUCCAGGGCUACACACGUGUUACAAUGGUUGGUACAAAGAGCAGCUACUAUGUGAAUAGAUGCUAAUCUCAAAAACCAAUCUCAGUUCGGAUUGAAGUCUGCAACUCGACUUCAUGAAGUUGGAAUCGCUAGUAAUCGCGCAUCAGCCAUGGCGCGGUGAAUACGUUCCCGGGCCUUGUACACACCGCCCGUCAAGCCAUGGAAGCUUGGGGUACCUGAAGUCUGUAACCGCAAGGAGCGGCCUAAGGUAAAACAAGUAACU
rnacentral:rRNA from 1 species